GAAGAGGCCCUGUCUUUUGAGAAGGUGGACUCCAGGGCAAAUAUAAACAGGUCCAGCUCUCAGGCUGUGAGGACUCAGGAGCCCUCGCUGAUUCUGUUCCA